UCCCUGGUAGCUCAGAUGGUAAAGCGUCUGCCUACAAUGCAGGAGACCCAGGUUCAAUCCCUGGGUUGGGAA
rfam:TPA: Bos taurus chromosome 25, whole genome shotgun sequence.